rnacentral:misc_RNA from 1 species
GUAGGUGAACCUGCGGAAGGAUCAUUAACACGUAUCCAACGUUAAAACCCCCUGUGAACUUUCAGCCUGCUCGCGUAGCUUGUAGGGUUAAGCAGCAAUCUCGGUAAAUCAAGUGGGAGAAACAGUUCUGAUUCGAGACCUCUGCACCAUAUGGGUUAUUAGCUCGAAGCGGUAGAAGCAGUGGCAUGGCGUCCCAAGCCUCCAGUGAAUGACAGCGUCACUGGAACAAGUGAGGGAUAACGCUUCUCGG